AGUGAACGCUGGCGGCAGGCCUAACACAUGCAAGUCGAGCGGCAGCGGGUCCUUCGGGAUGCCGGCGAGCGGCGGACGGGUGAGGAAUGCAUCGGAAUCUGCCCUGUUGUGGGGGAUAACCUAGGGAAACUUAGGCUAAUACCGCAUACGACCCACGGGUGAAAGCGGGGGAUCGCAAGACCUCGCGCGAUAGGAUGAGCCGAUGUCCGAUUAGCUAGUUGGCGGGGUAAAGGCCCACCAAGGCGACGAUCGGUAGCUGGUCUGAGAGGAUGAUCAGCCACACUGGGACUGAGACACGGCCCAGACUCCUACGGGAGGCAGCAGUGGGGAAUAUUGGACAAUGGGCGCAAGCCUGAUCCAGCCAUGCCGCGUGGGUGAAGAAGGCCUUCGGGUUGUAAAGCCCUUUUGUCCGGGAAGAAAUCGUCUGGGCUAAUACCCCGGGCGGAUGACGGUACCGGAAGAAUAAGCACCGGCUAACUUCGUG
rnacentral:rRNA from 1 species